AUGCACGCUGGCGGCGUGCCUCAUCCAUGCAAGUCGCGCGAACAGACGAGGAGCUUGCUCCUCUGACGUUAGCGGCGGACGGGUGAGUAACACGUGGAUAACCUACCUAUAAGACUGGGAUAACUUCGGGAAACCGGAGCUAAUACCGGAUAAUAUAUUGAACCGCAUGGUUCAAUAGUGAAAGACGGUUUUGCUGUCACUUAUAUAUGGAUCCGCGCCGCAUUAGCUAGUUGGUAAGGUAACGGCUUACCAAGGCAACGAUGCGUAGCCGACCUGAGAGGGUGAUCGGCCACACUGGAACUGAGACACGGUCCAGACUCCUACGGGAGGCAGCAGUAGGGAAUCUUCCGCAAUGGGCGAAAGCCUGACGGAGCAACGCCGCGUGAGUGAUGAAGGUCUUCGGAUCGUAAAACUCUGUUAUUAGGGAAGAACAAAUGUGUAAGUAACUAUGCACGUCUUGACGGUACCUAAUCAGAAAGCCACGGCUAACUACGUG
rnacentral:rRNA from 1 species